rnacentral:misc_RNA from 1 species
ACAGUGGACUGGUAGAGGGUCUCUUCAAAGAGGAUGGCACCAGAGAUGUAUUUUCCGAGGCCAGGAGCUGAGACAAGGAGGGUGCGGUAGGCUUGGCGGUUGGCCUCAGUGUUCUCUAGCCCGAUUGAGGCUAGCCGCUUCCCACAGGUUGCAUUUGACUCAUCCAUGGCCAAAAUUCCUCGCCCUGGCGAUGCAACGGUUUUCG